UCACAGGUGAGACACUGUGGACAGACAGGUAGAGACACAGACCACAGGUGAGACACUGAGGACGGACAGGUAGAGACACAGACCACAGGUGAGACACUGAGGACGGACAGGUAGAGACACAGACCACAGGUGAGACACUGAGGACGGACAGGUAGAGACACAGACCACAGGUGAGACACUGAGGACGGACAGGUAGAGACAGAGACCACAGGUGAGACACUGAGGACAGACAGGUAGAGACACAGACCACAGGUGCGACACUGAGGACGGACAGGUAGAGACACAGACCACAGGUGAGACACUAAGGACGGACAGGUAGAGACACAGACCACAGGUGAGACACUGAAGACGGACAGGUAGAGACACAGACCACAGGUGCGACACUGAGGACGGACAGGUAGAGACACAGAUGACAGGUGAGACACUGAGGACAGACAGGUAGAGACACAGACCACAGGUGAGACACUGAAGACGGACAGGUUGAGACACAGACCACAGGUGUGACACUGAGGACGGACAGGUAGAGACACAGACCACAGGUGUGACACUGAGGACAGACAGGUAGAGACACAGACCACAGGUAAGACACUGAGGACAGACAGGUAGAGACACAGACCACAGGUGUGACACUGAGGACGGACAGGUAGAGACACAGAGACGACAGGUGUGACACUGAGGAUGGACAGGUAAAGGCACAAAGACGACAGGUGAGACACUGAGGAUGGACAGGGAGAGACAGAGACCACGGGUGAGACACUGAGGACAGACAGGUAGAGACACAGACCACAGGUGCGACACUGAGGACGGACAGGUAGAGACACAGACCACAGGUGAGACACUAAGGACGGACAGGUAGAGACACAGACCACAGGUGAGACACUGAAGACGGACAGGUAGAGACACAGACCACAGGUGCGACACUGAGGACGGACAGGUAGAGACACAGAUGACAGGUGAGACACUGAGGACAGACAGGUAGAGACACAGACCACAGGUGAGACACUGAAGACGGACAGGUUGAGACACAGACCACAGGUGUGACACUGAGGACGGACAGGUAGAGACACAGACCACAGGUGUGACACUGAGGACAGACAGGUAGAGACACAGACCACAGGUAAGACACUGAGGACAGACAGGUAGAGACACAGACCACAGGUGAGACACUGAAGACGGACAGGUUGAGACACAGACCACAGGUGUGACACUGAGGACGGACAGGUAGAGACACAGAGACGACAGGUGUGACACUGAGGACGGACAGGUAAAGGCACAAAGACGACAGGUGAGACACUGAGGAUGGACAGGGAGAGACAGAGACCACGGGUGACACACUGAGGACGGACAGGUAAAGGGACAGAGACCACAGGUGAGACACUGAGGAUGGACAGGGAGAGACAGAGACCACUUUGACUCCGCUUUCUGCUAUUUAAGCAAGUACAGGUGAGUCAGAUGUGUACACGUAAACCAGAUCUGUACAGGUGAGUCUGGUGUGCACAGGUGAGUCGGAUGUGUACAGGUGAGUCAGAGGUGUACAGGUGAUUCAGAUGUGUACAGGUGAGCCAAAUGUGUACAGGUGAUUCAGAUGUGUACAGGUGAGCCAAAUGUGUACAGGUGAGUCAGAUGUGUACAGGUAAGUCAGAUGUGUACAGGCGAGUCAGAUGUGUACAGAUGAAUGAGAUCUGUACAGGUGAGUCAGAUGUGUACAGGUAAGUCAGGUGUACACAGAUGAGUAAGGUUUGUACAGGUAAGUCAGGUGUGUACAGGUGAGUCAGAUGUGUAAAGGCGAGUCAGGUGUGUACAGGUGAGUCAGACAUGUACAGGUGAGUCGGAUAUUACAGGUGAGUCAGAUGUGUACAGGUGAACCAGAUGUGUACAGUUGAGUCAGGUGUGUACAGGUGAGUCAGAUGUGUACAGGUAUGUCAGGAGUGUACAGGUGAGUCAGAUGUGUAGAGGUGAGUCAGAUGUGUACAGGUAGGUCAGAUGUGUACAGGUGAGUCAGAUGUGUAAAGGUGAGUCAGAUGUGUACAGAUGAGUCAGGUGUGUUCAGGAAGUGAGGUGUACACAGGUGAGUCAGAAUUUUACAGGUGAGUCAGAUGUGUAGAGAUGAAUGAGAUCUGUAUAGGUGAGUCAGGUGUUUACAGGUAAGUCAGGUGUACACAGAUGAGUAAGGUGUGUACAGGUAAGUCAGGUGUGUACAGGUGAAUCAGGUGUGUCAACGUGAGUCAGGUGUGUACAGGUGAGUCAGACGUGUACAGGUGAACCAGAUGUGUACAGUUGAGUCAGGUGUGUACAGGUGAAUCAGGUGUGUCAACGUGAGUCAGGUGUGUACAGGUGAGUCAAAUGUGUCCAGGUGAGUCAGAUGUGUACAGGUAAGUCAGGAGUGUACAGGUGAGUCAGAUGUGUAGAGGUGAGUCAGAUGUGUACAGGUAAACCAGAUGUGUACAGGCGAGUCAGAUGUGUAAAGGUGAGUCAGAUGUGUACAGAUGAGUCAGGUGUGUUCAGGUAAGUGAGGUGUACACAGGUGAGUCAGAAUUUUACAGGUGAGUCAAAUGUGUACAGGUGAGUCAGAUGUUUACAGAUGAAUGAGAUCUGUACAGGUGAGUCAGAUGUUUACAGGUAAGUCAGGUGUACACAGAUGAGUAAGGUGUGUACAGGUAAGUCAGGUGUGUACAGGUGAAUCAGAUGUGUACAGGUGAGUCAAAGGUGUAGAGGUGAGUCAAAUGUGUACAGGUGAGUCAGAGGUGUACAGGUGAUUCAGAUAUGUACAGGUGAGUCAAAUAUGUACAGGUGAGUCAGAGGUGUAAAGGUGAGUCAGAGGUGUACAGGUGAGUCAGAUGUGUACAGGUGAGUCAAAUGUGUACAGGUGAGUCAGAGGUGUAAAGGUGAGUCAGAUGUGUACAGGUGAGUCGGAGGUGUACAGGUGAGUCAGAUGUGUACAGGUGAGUCAAAUGUGUACAGGUGAGUCAGAGGUGUAAAGGUGAGUCAGAUGUGUACAGGUGAGUCAGAGGUGUAAAGGUGAGUCAGAUGUGUACAGGUGAGUCAGAGGUGUAAAGGUGAGUCAGGUGUGCACAAGUGGGUCAGAUGUGUACUGGUGAGUAAGAGGUGUACAGGUGAGUCAGAUGUGUACAGGUGAGUCAAAUGUGUCCAGGUGAGUCAGGUGUGUACAGGUGAGUCAGGUGUGCACAGGUGAGUCAGAUGUGUACUGGUGAGUAAGAGGUGUACAGGUGAGUCAGAUGUGUACAGGUGAGUCAAAUGUGUCCAGGUGAGUCAGUUGUGCACAGGUGAGUCAGGUGUGUACUGGUGAGUCAGAUGUGUACUGGUGAGUAAGAGGUGUACAGGUGAGUCAGAUGUGUACAGGUGAGUCAAAUGUGUCCAGGUGAGUCAGUUGUGCACAGGUGAGUCAGGUGUGUACUGGUGAGUCAGAUGUGUACAGGUGAA